rnacentral:rRNA from 1 species
UGGGGAAUAUUGGACAAUGGGCGCAAGCCUGAUCCAGCCAUGCCGCGUGAGUGAAGAAGGCCCUAGGGUUGUAAAGCUCUUUCAGUGGGGAGGAUAAUGACGUUACCCACAGAAGAAGCCCCGGCUAACUCCGUGCCAGCAGCCGCGGUAAUACGGAGGGGGCUAGCGUUGUUCGGAAUCACUGGGCGUAAAGCGCACGUAGGCUGACAGUUAAGUCGGGGGUGAAAGCCCGGAGCUCAACUCCGGAACUGCCUUCGAUACUGGCUGUCUUGAGUCCGGGAGAGGUGAGCGGAAUUCCGAGUGUAGAGGUGAAAUUCGUAGAUAUUCGGAAGAACACCAGUGGCGAAGGCGGCUCACUGGCCCGGUACUGACGCUGAGGUGCGAAAGCGUGGGGAGCAAACAGGAUUAGAUACCCCCGUAGUCC